UACGUAGGGGGCAAGCGUUGUCCGGAAUCAUUGGGCGUAAAGAGCGUGUAGGCGGCCCGGUAAGUCCGCUGUGAAAGUCCAGGGCUCAACCCUGGGAUGCCGGUGGAUACUGUCGGGCUCGAGUCCGGAAGAGGCGAGUGGAAUUCCUGGUGUAGCGGUGAAAUGCGCAGAUAUCAGGAGGAACACCAAUGGCGAAGGCAGCUCGCUGGGACGUGACUGACGCUGAGACGCGAAAGCGUGGGGAGCAAACAGGAUUAGAACCGUACCGAGUCAGACCAAGAUCCA
rnacentral:rRNA from 1 species